rnacentral:rRNA from 1 species
GACGGAGGGGGCUAGCGUUGUUCGGAAUUACUGGGCGUAAAGCGCGCGUAGGCGGCGCAUUAAGUCAGAGGUGAAAGCCCGGGGCUCAACCCCGGAAUUGCCUUUGAGACUGGUGUGCUUAGUACGGAAGAGGUGAGUGGAAUUCCCAGUGUAGAGGUGAAAUUCGUAGAUAUUCGGAAGAACACCAGUGGCGAAAGGCGGCUCACUGGCCUGGUAUCGACGCUGAGGUGCGAAAGCGUGGGGAGCAAAACAGGAUUGAGAUACCCGUGUAGUCC